AACGAACGCUGGCGGCAGGCCUAACACAUGCAAGUCGAACGCCCUAGCAAUAGGGAGUGGCGCACGGGUGCGUAACGCGUGGGAAUAUACCCUUCACUGCGGAAUAACGUUUGGAAACGAACGCUAAUACCGCAUAAUGACUCCGGUCCAAAGAUUUAUCGGUGAAGGAUUAGCCCGCGUUAGAUUAGCUAGUUGGUGAGGUAAUGGCUCACCAAGGCUACGAUCUAUAGCUGGUCUGAGAGGAUGAUCAGCCACACUGGGACUGAGACACGGCCCAGACUCCUACGGGAGGCAGCAGUUGGGAAUCUUGGACAAUGGGGGAAACCCUGAUCCAGCCAUGCCGCGUGAGUGAUGAAGGCCUUCGGGUUGUUAAAACUCUUUCGCGCACGACGAUAAUGACGGUAGUGCGAGAAGAAGCUCCGGCUAACUUCGUGCCAGCAGCCGCGGUAAU
rnacentral:rRNA from 1 species